rnacentral:rRNA from 1 species
UGGGGAAUUUUGGACAAUGGACGCAAGUCUGAUCCAGCCAUGCCGCGUGCGGGAAGAAGGCCUUCGGGUUGUAAACCGCUUUUGUCAGGGAAGAAACGAGUUUCUCUAAUACAGAGACUUAAUGACGGUACCUGAAGAAUAAGCACCGGCUAACUACGUGCCAGCAGCCGCGGUAAUACGUAGGGUGCGAGCGUUAAUCGGAAUUACUGGGCGUAAAGCGUGCGCAGGCGGUUAUGUAAGACAGAUGUGAAAUCCCCGGGCUCAACCUGGGAACUGCAUUUGUGACUGCAUGGCUAGAGUACGGUAGAGGGGGAUGGAAUUCCGCGUGUAGCAGUGAAAUGCGUAGAUAUGCGGAGGAACACCGAUGGCGAAGGCAAUCCCCUGGGCCUGCACUGACGCUCAUGCACGAAAGCGUGGGGAGCAAACA